UCCACGGGGCGGGCGGCGCUCGCCACGAGUGAGUGGUUCAGCUCGGCCCCGGCUCGUUGUGCUCGCCUCACACCGGCCGGAGUUGGCAGCAGCGCUGGAGGCCCCGGGCCGGUGACCACAAAGAGGGAGCCGGGGGCCGGACGGGAGCGCGGCGGCGGCGGCGGCGGCGGCGGCGGCGGCGGCGCCGGCUGAGGCCCAGGCCAGGCCUCCUCCCCUCAGCCUCCCGCCGGCCCGCCCGCCUGUCCCGCCCCCGCCGGCGGCGCCCCGCCCCUCCCCUAACCGCCAGACUAGCCUGGUGGGGGGGCCGCGCGCGAAGACAUGGGAGAGAAGCUGAGGCUGGAGUCGCCCGUGGGGGCCGAGCCCGCCGUCUACCCGUGGCCGCUGCCGGUCUACGUUGUGACAGAAAUAAAGUUUCCAGAAGUUGUGUUCCUGCAAUAAGAAAUAAAGAUAUGACCUUCCAGUUGUGUAAAGCUCAUGAAUGCUGUGUAAGUGCGUCGGGUGCAAUAAGGAACCUGGAGCUAAAUGGGCUAGUUCUGAGAGAGAGAGACUUAACUACGUUAACAAAGGAAAUCCAUCUCCGUCCUUUGCGGGGGCAGUCCCGAGCUCAUGUUUUAACGGACGCGAAUGCAAAGCGUGGUUCUCACGUGACUUUCUGAAGAGCCCCCGCAGCAGGCCCAGGUACCUUGAGUGGACUAAGUCUCACUUUAUGGCAAUGGCAUCAGAUGGUGGCUACAGAAGGUUGCCGACGUCCCUGUGUGCUCUGACAGGCUCUGCAGACCGGGGGACGAAAGGACCAAGGAACUCUGACCGCCCUCGGGAAUCCCAAGUGACUGGAGGGACACCGCGUCAGGGCCCCAGGCAGUGUCGCCCACUGUUCCGGAGGCGGGCGGAGGCUCCGCAGCCUCAUUUCGUCCCGUCCCUUCCAGUAUCUAAAAUUGUUGUCAAGAUGCUGGGUUAACUCAGGCAGGUCUACAAAGGCGUCCCAAGCAGCAAACAUGUCUGUGAUGAAAUAGCCAAUGAAAGAGAUUUGGGAUUUGGGGAUGCUGCAGGUAUUUCUGUCAAAAACUGCCAUCACCACAGGCAAGUCCUGUCGCUUCUCUUCAUCAGUCUGAGAAAAACAUUCGUCUGAGAUACGUGCGGCCCACUCAAUGCACUGCUCCAGGGGUCGGCAGGGAUUGGACACAUCAGCACACUUAAUCAGUCAGGCGACACUGAAUGUUCUUCUCCAAGGUGCCUGGGUGUUUGGCAGCAGCUAAGCACGGAAGCUUAGGAGGAGGGGGCAGCUCACCUCGAUCCCACGUCAGUGCCUCGUUCCCCGACGGGGGCGACCUCAGCCUUGGCAGCGGCAGAAAAAGCGGCAGGGGAAUCUUCCGCUUCCAGGGCCUACUGCUGGUAGAUAGCAGGGAAGAGGAGCUUCUUGUUGGGAUGCGUGAAGACUCUUCACGCUGCAGCUCCUUCCCAGACGUCGGUGAGCCUGGUGAUUUGGGCCGGUGGUCUUCACCCAGCACUUUUUUUGUUGGCUUCUUCAGCAGCAGGGAACAGCAUGCGGUUGGGGCAGAGGACAGCACGGCAUGGGAUGGGGCCUUCACCUCCCUCUUCUCACCUCCUUCCGGGGCUGUCAUUUUCCAUUGUGCCCCUGUUUUCCCCAGCCCCCGUGUCCUCAGUGGGAGGUGACUGGAUGGUAGCGGCUUCCUGACGUUGACUCCCUGCUCAGGGCAGAAGGCCGGCGCUGGAGCAGCAGGGUGGUCCCGGUCAGAUGUGGCAGCCUCCCAGGAGGGCAAAACCAGCGGGUGACAGCCCACCGGGGCCCCACGGCGGGGCGGGCGGCGGGGCCGGUGGGGCCGGCGGCGGUGGCGGAGCCAGGUACGAAAUUUACACAGUAAAUUGCCCAUGUAGGACCGGUUGUGCGCCAAGCGAUCCGAGAAGAGUGUGAAACUGGGAGAGCUUCUCCUUCGCUUCACCUCCUCUCAAGGUCUAGCACGCACUGGACACUGGAUGGCUCAGCCUGGCGCUUGUGACAUGUCCAUUGUACUCGUCACAGAGAAAGGGUGGGCGGGGCAGGGUGUGGGGCGGGGGUCGCAUGCAAGCCCAGCCCGUGGAGAAACCCCCGCCCAAGGGCAAAGGGCGGGGCCCCAGAGCCCGACCCCUUCUGGACUUUCUAGUGGCUGGGACUUCUCGCUGUGGGUGGCAGGUGUUUGGCACCGGAUGGGCCACCAUGCGGAGACUGUUGGGGACUCUGGAAGCCUUCUCCUGCAGAGCUCGCCCUGCCUGGGCACCGGCUCUGCAGGCCCCUCAGCCCUGCGUAUGUAUCGGCCAGCCCUUGCCCCCCAAGGGGCCCAGGGGCCGGAGCCUGUUCAGAGCUGAGUGCAGGAGGCACCCAGAGCUUGCCAGGCUGUGGCCCGCCUCCUCCAGGGACCUCCCCAGCUUCUCUGCGAGGCCUGAUGACGGGAGCACCUUCUCCAGGGCUGCUCAGCUGCCAGCAUCACCAUGAGCCAGGUGGCGAAGGUUUCUGAGCAGGGGAUGCAGAGCCCUGACCCGACUGGGUGCUGCACCCCACGAUGUCCCUUCCUGGCAGAUAGGUUCUUUUUUCACUUCCUUUUCAAAAUUUGGUAAAACAACAUUUAAACCUUCGACUGCUCUUCAGGGUGUACAGAUGGUAGUGGCUUAGCCGGGAUUCGAAGCAAGGCUGUGUGAUUCCAGAGCUCGUGCUCUGGACUGUGGCGCCUUCUUAUCAUAUAUGCUUCAUGUGUUACUUUUGUUUUUUUUUUCUUGUGGCCCUUAUGGUACUUAGCCCUAAGUGCCAUACGUGUGAGGAACACGUACACUGCCCUGUAGGAGGUCUUCUUUUGUUCAACGCAUGAAUUGCUCAUCCACCACACGGGGUUCUAGUCUCAGAAGAUACAGGUCAGGGAGCACCAGCUGUCAGCAUAGCAGCGUCCCACAUUUCUAACUGAGGCUUGCAGCCCAGAUUUUCCCUUUGGUCUAGUGUGAAGGAUCCAGAUAUGUAAAGCUUAUAUUCUAGACAAAUCAUGGGCUAUCCGGAAAGAAAUUCACCAGUAAAUUAUUCCAGUUUCUCUGGCCUUCCUGGAGUAUAUCCAGUAAGGCAUCUCAUUCGUGUCUGGAAAGCAAAUAUAUCAUUUAUUGCAGCUUCAUCGUGGAGUGAGGUAUUGGUUUAAAGUACGAUCAACACAAUUUGGUCAUUGUGAGUAUGGCAGCUGGGUCCACUGUUUACUACACAUAUGUAACUCUAGCGAUUCUUAUGCCCAAGAGAGGAGACAUACUCUUGGGUGUCUAGGGCAAGGGAAACGUGUUGUUAUUCAGGAGCUGGAAGCUUCAGCAUGACAGGAAAGAAUUGAAAAAUCCUGGUCUACACAUGACUUUACCUUGUUUGAAACUUGUUUCUUUGGCUUGCUUCAUUGGAGUGUUUUCUCUCUCCUGGGGCUGACAUUGUGUGUUCUGUAUCACGCAUGUGACAUGUAGAAGUUUCAGAACCCAGAGUCAUAUAGAUGAGUAAACAUUUAUUUAUAUAUUUUAGUUUAAAAUCUAUUGAAAAUAACACUGGGCAUAAUUCAUAUAUUGCAAAAUUGGUUUGACCCUCUGCCCAUGAGAUUCUUUUUAUGAUAUGUGACAGCUAAUUUGGACUUCCAUCCCCAAUAAACUUUGAGGUUUGAGGACACAAAAGGUUUUGCUCAGACCUAAAUUCUGUCUGAAAAAAAGGGGUAAAUAUUAUAAGCCCUUUCUAACCUCUCCAGGAGCGGAAAUGAUUUACAGCUGUGCCAUUGAACCAUAAUUCCUUGAUCUCAUUUGAGAAGAGUUCUGUAAGAA